UAGGAAUGCCCUAGUAAGUUAGUGAUUGUGA
rnacentral:piRNA from 1 species